UCGCUCCCCGCCCGCCUGGCUUUGUCAUCUCCAACCAUUUUAAAAGCGUCGUGAUCUCCGCUCGCUCACCCCCGCAUGAGCUCCACGGAGCAGGGCACUUUCUUUUCACCCUCGAUCGCGCCUAAUAACGGGACAAAACGCAACGUUACAGCUCUGCGGGGACACCGUGGGGAAGUGAGAGAGCAGUGCAGACAGGUCCGGGGCGCCACAGUUUACUCAGCUGGUGCAACAACGAGGCGAACCUGGGCGAGGACAGAUGCAGCAGCGCGCCCGUGCCUCCUCUCUCCUCCUUCGGCCUCGCUGAGGAGGAAGCUCCCGGCGCUGGUGAAAGAUACUGGCCCGCCAAGCUCCGCUGCCACCUGCCGCAUCGGGAAGUCCUUGUUCGGGCGCUAUUUGGACGAUCUCCUACCCUGCCUUGACGCACAGACAACAACGCGAAGCCAUAUGGAGCUCCUUCAGUGCUGCGGAGGGGCAAAGUCGGGGCGCCGCUUUUAAAGGGCCAGAAGCCUGAUAUCGCCUUAAGGUCUUGUGGUCAGGCACAGAUGGGUCAAAUGACAUCCCUGAGGCAGGAGCCAUUCAUCAGGAGAUCACUUCAUGUCGCUUCCACUCCACUGGGUUCUGCUCUUCACAUCUUUGCAUAGAUGCAGACAGCUGCAUCUCCAGUAAUGCAAAAUAGAAUAUUAACUAGAAUGCAUUUAUCAGACUCCACCCAUCCAAACAGAUCAAUAAUGGCUUUCUCAGCAGCCCACUCUGAUUAAUUUCUGAGGAGAUCAAUGCCUCAGUUACUCAUCUCUUGAUGGAGCAGAGGCACAGUCACCUCUGUAACUCAUUACUGAUGAGCCACAGAUGAGUCAGCAGAAACCCCAGCAGAGCACGGCCAGGUCAAUUACACAUGAAGCACCCAGACUAGCCGGACAGAUAACCUGCGGCCAGAACAGGUAAGACUAGACCGAUCCGCCCUCAACAAACACUCUGAUCUCAUACCCUGCUAGCACGAUACUACCAGCUACCCAUUUGCUUGCUGAGGCUUAAACAAGACGUGUCCCCUUUGCAUUAAUUAGCCAAACUUCCCUCCAUUAGGUAGAGAAGCUUAAUAGCCCUUCUGCUAUCUCUCUACCAUGAAUACCUGUGCCAUUACAAAUCUAUUAACUCAAACACAUUUUACACAGAGGGCAGGUAUAAUUUCCAGCAAGCAGAACAAUGCAGUUUGCAGUUAAAUUCAUCGUGUCACGUGAAGAAGAUGUCACUCAUCACAAGCGUCUCAAUAUCUUAAUAUCAGUGUUAAUUUUGUGUUUAAGGCUGCGCCCAAGCUGCCCUGGCGUGGGGCCAAACAUGCACUGUCAAAUAGCAGGCUAGGCUACUGAAUAAUGGAUAGCGACAGGCUACAUAAUUCAUCUACAUUUUCCAGUAUGGCAGAGCAUAUUUCACCAGACACUCUGCCUUGGUGCUGCGUCCCGUCCUUCACUCAAAAAACGAACUCGCUUGUCAGCCACCUUGACGGCAUCUCUCUCAGCAGCUGUGUCUGUUAGUGUGACUGCCAGACUUCUCGUGUUAAAUGGCACAAACAUAACUUUUGAGAUGCUUACACGUUUAAUUAAAUCAUGUCUAAUAGAGAGGCACCCAUUCCAAACGCCGAGUCCAGAGAUGAAAUGAGCCAGAAAGGAAAUAGCGACUAAUCAUAACAGCAAAUAGUAGUAAAAUUGCUACAAUCAUCCCCAGCUGUUGAAGCACUCACACAAGCCACAUCAGGACAGAUAGUCUGGCUGCUGACACAUUUUAAUUAUCUGCAAAAAAACCCCUAUCAAAACAUUUUAGAUGCAAAUGCACUUGGCCAGCUGAAUUUGCACGGCAAAUCAGAAUAUUUUGCAUAUAGUUUCAGGUUUUAAUCCUCUAAUAGCCACAGGCCCUGUGAAAGUGUUCUUCAGCUAAACACUGAACUACAACCACCUCACUUAUUUCAACAACUUCAAUUAAAUUAAAAAGAAAACCAUAAAACAUUUUCCUCCAAAUGCCUCUGUCCAGCCCACAAUCUUGCUGUGUGGUCAGAAAAGCAUUACCAACAGAGCGUCUUCUGCUUGAGUGACCCCUACGUCCCAUGGAUGUCCUGGUCUCCUAGGUGACCCGCACGCCUGAUUUGCAGGUCCUGGGUGACCUAGUCUCAAGCGGUCCCAGUGCAUCCAUUUGCCACUGUAACGGUGUAGAAAGUAAGGCAAGAAAGCCUCUUACAGCCCAAGUGAGUGAACAUGAUAAUCCCCUCUGUGUCUGCUCUGCAACUUCACCUGCUGCUAAUCCAUAACCUGAUAAUCCUACGUGUGCAACACACACACAAACACACGUUACACUGAUGUAUGCAGAUGCACAUAGACACUGAAUUAUGGACAUGCACACUCUCUCUCUCUCUCUCACACACACAGAGCUGAACACACAUCUUUUAACGCCGGAAAACAUGCAAGGCCCCAACAAGCAGCUACCUCCCUCUGCCCCCUCUUUAGAUCCAGCUCAUAGUCACGUCUGUGUCAUACAUGCAUGCAGCAGUGUUCAUGUACAUGGUCUUUUCCGGCAUGCCAUGUCCAUAGAUACCUGCGUUGUGUUCUACAGCAUGCAUCUGUAUUCGCAUUGAAAGUUUUGCUUAAAGAACCCAGUGCAUCUGUCUUCAUCGGCAUGGUCUGACCUGAGUGGUCACCCCAUUCUACAAGCGCAUGCAGUGAGAGGGUUAAUUCCUGUUCAGCAGUCAUCACUCCAGGCCCCAAGGAGCUACAGAUUAUCCAGGGUCCACAGCAGUAAGAUCACAUCUUAACCUUUUCAGACAAGAACCAGAGACACUCUAAUAAGUAACAAGACAUUGUAGCUCUUGAGGGCCGGGGGUUGGGUGACACCUGCUCCAAGCCGUUGCGCAUGGCCGCAUGCACCUUGGGAUUCUGGACACAAAUGGGAGGCGGGGAGAGGGGGGGCGAAGGGGCGUCAUCCAGUCUAAUUCGAGCAAACUCACUUUUUUCAAACCUGUCUGUGAGGCAGGCACGCAUGGUAGCGUCGGCGACCUGGCCUGGGUCCUGCAGUUCAGAAGCCUCCUGCCUAAUGGUGGUCAACACUAACUGCUCUGUGGGCACCAGAAAGGCCGCGGCGGGAGAAAACAACACACACAAGACAACAAGUCAAUAUACACAUACCGCACACAACUCAUCUAUGUGUAACAGCUGCAAAUGUGUUUGUGUGUGCGUGUCGCUAGAAGCGCUAACAGUGAGAUGAGACUCAUGCCUGCAUAUGAAAGAUGUUGACCUCAAAAGUUUCACACAGAGACGGACUUGUGAAAUGUAAGCUUCUAGCUUGUCCAGGAGUGCCCCCCUGUGUACAGCUUAUGUCAGUACCUCUAUUCUGCAAUUCAUUAGACCUCUCUCUAUCUCCCAAGUGGCAUCUUCAGUAGCUUGGCAGCCAUGACGACCAGUCAUUAUCUUUCCAAAACAGACAUAUUGUUGACAGUUGGCUGAGCUAAAUGACUUGCAUAAACUAGACACCCCUACACUGGGACAGAUGUGCCCUUACAUUAAAAAACUAAUCACGUGGGAUGUCCAGAACAAUCUGCAAAAAACAUUAAGACAUCUUUAUUUUUGUUUAGCUUCAUUGUGACAUUAGGCUAAAAUAUGUUUUUUUCCUACAGUAGAAUGUGCUUUUUCAACCAAUGUGAGAAGUGUUUUUGUGUCUGUGAGUACUCAUUAGAAACAUGACAAAAUACUCAAAUGCUGGUCAGAGUUUGUGUCAACCACUAUUUAUGGUCUUCUUAAAUAAAAGCAAAUUCAGUUGUU